UGCGAGUGUGCUGUGGUUGAAAGUCGAUGCUAGCCGCGGGCAAAACGACCCACGUAAGGCGUUUAACGACGCUGAGCAUGGCGCGGUUUAGAUGUAAGUCCUGCGUUGGAUUGAUCAAAGUGGUCAUCCCCGGCGUAGGCGGGUGUGGGGUCAAAGACCAGGUCAGGCACUCGCA
rnacentral:ncRNA from 1 species